GAGAUUUGGACCUAGAACGGAAAGAAAUCGAUUAAGGGAUAAUUACGCCUUUUUUUUUCACAUUUGUGGUAUCGAGAGUUUCCAGGUUAGCUCGGGUUGGAGGCCGUCAGAGAUAUUAUCACACUGUCAAGCUAACGCUAUUGGUGUAGUGAUUUCAAGUACUUUGAGCCUAUGGCAUGUAUAGGAGUUUAAAUAUUAGAGUAUGUGAUAUGGAUUUAACCAUAUGUGUUGACCUAUUUUGAUUAUGGGGUUGUAAAUCUAUUUUAAUUAUGCAUGCAUGUGCUAUGGUAUUAUGUGAUGAGUUUAUAAUGAUUAUAGUAUGAAUGUGGUAAA